UACGAAGGGGGCUAGCGUUGCUCGGAAUCACUGGGCGUAAAGCGCACGUAGGCGGAUUGCUAAGUCAGGGGUGAAAUCCUGGAGCUCAACUCCAGAACUGCCUUUGAUACUGGCGAUCUUGAGUCCGGGAGAGGUGAGUGGAACUCCGAGUGUAGAGGUGAAAUUCGUAGAUAUUGGGAAGAACACCAGUGGCGAAGGCGGCUAACUGGUCCAGCACUGACGCUGAGGUGCGAAAGCGUGGGGAGCAAACAGG
rnacentral:rRNA from 1 species